AAGAUGCAGUGUGUCCGCGGCAAGACAGAAAGACCCCGUGAACCUUUACUAUAGCUUGACACUGAACAAUGAGCCUUGAUGUGUAGGAUAGGUGGGAGGCUUUGAAGUUUGGACGCCAGUCUGCAUGGAGCCGACCUUGAAAUACCACCCUUUAAUGUUUGAUGUUCUAACGUGGACCCGUAAUCCGGGUUGCGGAGAGUGUCUGGUGGGUAGUUUGACUGGGGCGGUCUCCUCCGAAAGAGUAACGGAGG
rnacentral:rRNA from 1 species